rnacentral:misc_RNA from 1 species
CUCUCUCUUUCUCUCUCUCUCUAACAUGACUUAAAUGAGUGGGAUUGGAUUGGAUGAAGAGAACCUUUUUGUAAUUUAGGUACUCAAAAAAGGGGAAUAAAUGCAGUUGGUGUUGCUAUAUGUUUCUGGUUUUGUAUUUGUACCCUGUGCUACAUAAAAUACUUUUAAUUCAGAACUAAAUGCCUUCUUUCACUAUUCUUUAUUUGCAACUAAGUGGUGGGCACUGGCAACGAAUUACUUGUUAAAACUGUGGCCUGAAAAUGGCAAUGGGUACCCAUUUAUGCAUUUCAAAUCUAUUAGGAUUCAUAGCUG